UCAGAUCUGGGAUAACUCCGGGAAACUGGAGAUAAUACCGGAUAAUCCGUGAACGCUGGAAUGCCUUACGGUUCAAAGCUUUAGCGUCUGAGGAUGGGUCUGCGGCCGAUUAGGUAGUUGCUGGGGUAACGUCCCAACAAGCCGAUAAUCGGUACGGGUUGUGAGAGCAAGAGCCCGGAGAUGGAUUCUGAGACACGAAUCCAGGUCCUACGGGGUGCAGCAGGCGCGAAAACUUUACACUGCGCGAAAGCGCGAUAAGGGGACCUCGAGUGCGUGCGCAAUGCGUACGCUUUUCAUAUGCCUAAAAAGCAUGUGGAAUAAGAGCCGGGCAAGACCGGUGCCAGCCGCCGCGGUAACACCGGCGGCUCAAGUGGUGGCCGCUAUUAUUGGGCUUAAAGGGUCCGUAGCCGGACCAGUUAGUCCCUUGGGAAAUCUUACGGCUUAACCGUAAGGCUGCCAAUGGAUACUGCUGGUCUUGGGACCGGGAGAGGCAAGAGGUACUUCAGGGGUAGGAGUGAAAUCCUGUAAUCCUUGAGGGACCGCCAGUGGCGAAGGCGUCUUGCUAGAACGGGUCCGACGGUGAGGGACGAAAGCUAGGGGCACGAACCGGAUUAGAUACCCGGGUAGUCCUAGCCGUAAACGAUGCGAGCUAGGUGUCACGUGGAUUGCGAAUCCAUGUGGUGCCGUAGGGAAACCGUGAAGCUCGCCGCCUGGGAAGUACGGCCGCAAGGCUGAAACUUAAAGGAAUUGGCGGGGGAGCA
rnacentral:rRNA from 1 species